AGAGACCACCACAGCCUGUGAGAGUCUCCAGUGGACAACGGUUGUCUGAUUGAGACUCUUCCUGGUGUGCUCAGAAAAACCUGUACUUUUUUUGUUUCAAUUAGUUUUAUAGACAUUUCAAGCUGGGGCCUGCAUUUUUUUGUGCAACCCUGGGGUUCAACAAUUUGAAACUGCUUCACACCAAGAGCAGAGAAACUCGCUCUGUGGUUAUCACCUCAGAGAGACACAAUACCCAAAACCUGAGAACAUUCGCCUUGUUUUGUUGGAGUCAACACAUCUGCCAGGUUAUCUGUCUUCAGUCAACAUGGCUCAUAGAAAUCCAUGCUGAAUUAUUUUUUAGGAAGUUCGGUUUUGUUGACGAUGGAGUUAAAUGUUAUUCGUGUUAAAGUGAGUCUUUAAGAAGAUGGCCGGCUGUGUUUCUACAUAGUUUUGACAUCUGUCUUCAUUUCUCAUUUUUCCUCUAAGAUGUUCUGCACAUAUUUGUCAAUUUCUGUGGUCUGACUCAGAGCACAGGAAGUGUGGAGGAGCUUGACCGGAGAAAGAGGCUGAGAACUGCUUCUCUUACCAAGGACCUUCCCCAAGCCAGGCAUCUCCGGAGAUGGUAUGGAGCCUGGGGUAGCUCGGCCAGGCCUUUGAUCACCAGCGAUGCCAUUGCUCUUCCCCGUUUCGCGUCUGCUGUGGCUUGCUGCUGAGGCUGCUUUCAGACCUCUGGAAUCAGAAAAGGAGGUGACUAUAUCAGGUUCAGCAGAGGACACAUCUGGAACCCCUUUCCUGCUGGAGUGGACAGUGGAGGCAGCGCCACAGUGGAUUUUCAUUGGUGUCUCCCCUGGCUGCCUGGUGGCUGCCUGUCAGAGCCAGCGCUUGAGAACGUGGCUGCUAGUGAAAGUGUUUAUGUGUUUAUGUGACCACAGGUAGCAAACAGAUAAGAAACUAUCCGACUGAGGAGCAGCAAGGGUCUGGAGCUACUGCGAUUGGGUGACCUGGGUAGAGACCCUCCUGGAGAUUUCACUCUGACUAGAACUGGAAGGACAAACCCACCGCAGGAGAACCUUCAGGAGUGAGGCUAACUCAUCUGUGCCACUUAAUGCCGGAGUAACAAAGCCCCCAUCCACUGAGGACGGAGAGAGCAGAUUGUAAGGAGAGAGCAGAUUGUGUGGAGAGGCAGG
rnacentral:lncRNA from 1 species